GAUGAACGCCGGCGGCGUGCCUAAUACAUGCAAGUCGAGCGAACAGACGAGGAGCUUGCUCCUCUGACGUUAGCGGCGGACGGGUGAGUAACACGUGGAUAACCUACCUAUAAGACUGGGAUAACUUCGGGAAACCGGAGCUAAUACCGGAUAAUAUAUUGAACCGCAUGGUUCAAUAGUGAAAGACGGUUUUGCUGUCACUUAUAGAUGGAUCCGCGCCGCAUUAGCUAGUUGGUAAGGUAACGGCUUACCAAGGCGACGAUGCGUAGCCGACCUGAGAGGGUGAUCGGCCACACUGGAACUGAGACACGGUCCAGACUCCUACGGGAGGCAGCAGUAGGGAAUCUUCCGCAAUGGGCGAAAGCCUGACGGAGCAACGCCGCGUGAGUGAUGAAGGUCUUCGGAUCGUAAAACUCUGUUAUUAAGGAAGAACAAAUGUGUAAGUAACUAUGCACGUCUUGACGGUACCUAAUCAGAAAGCCACGGCUAACUACG
rnacentral:rRNA from 1 species